GUGGGGAAUUUUGGACAAUGGGCGAAAGCCUGAUCCAGCAAUGCCGCGUGUGUGAAGAAGGCCUUCGGGUUGUAAAGCACUUUUGGCAGGGAAGAAACAGUGCGUGCUAAUACCAUGCGCGAAUGACGGUACCUGCAGAAUAAGCACCGGCUAACUACGUGCCAGCAGCCGCGGUAAUACGUAGGGUGCAAGCGUUAAUCGGAAUUACUGGGCGUAAAGCGUGCGCAGGCGGCUUUGUAAGACGGAUGUGAAAGCCCCGGGCUCAACCUGGGAAGUGCCUGCGUGACUGCAAGGCUAGAGUGUGUCAGAGGGAGGUGGAAUUCCGCGUGUAGCAGUGAAAUGCGUAGAGAUGCGGAGGAACACCGAUUGCGAAGGCAGCCUCCUGGGAUAACACUGACGCUCAGGCACGAAAGCGUGGGGAGCAAACAGGAUUAGAUACCCCGGUAGUCC
rnacentral:rRNA from 1 species